rnacentral:rRNA from 1 species
CCUACGGGCGACUGCAGUGAGGAAUAUUGGUCAAUGGACGAGAGUCUGAACCAGCCAAGUAGCGUGAAGGAUGACUGCCCUAUGGGUUGUAAACUUCUUUUAUAUGGGAAUAAAAUGUUCCACGUGUGGGAUUUUGUAUGUACCAUAUGAAUAAGGAUCGGCUAACUCCGUGCCAGCAGCCGCGGUAAUACGGAGGAUCCGAGCGUUAUCCGGAUUUAUUGGGUUUAAAGGGAGCGUAGGUGGAUUGUUAAGUCAGUUGUGAAAGUUUGCGGCUCAACCGUAAAAUUGCAGUUGAAACUGGCAGUCUUGAGUACAGUAGAGGUGGGCGGAAUUCGUGGUGUAGCGGUGAAAUGCUUAGAUAUCACGAAGAACUCCGAUUGCGAAGGCAGCUCACUGGACUGCAACUGACACUGAGGCUCGAAAGUGUGGGUAUCGAACAGGAUUAGAUACCCCUGUAGUC